AUUAAUUUAUACUUCCAAUAGAUCAUUUAGUGGUCCUUACCGAGUGUCCUUCUAAAAAAUCAUUUAGUGGCUCUGCCUACUCUUUUUUAUUUUUUACUUUCUAAUAAAACCAAAAAAGGCUUGGUUUGGUUAGUUAAUACCCGAUUCAAAUUGAACCGACUUACAACUUGCUUAAUUUGACUUGUUCAGAUGUGUGGUUCAACUAAUAAAUUGGUGAACCAACCUGAUUUUAUUGGUAGUAGUUGGGUUCAUCUUUAU
rnacentral:lncRNA from 1 species